rnacentral:rRNA from 1 species
GACGAACGCUGGCGGCGUGCCUAAUACAUGCAAGUCGAACGCAGUGGGGACGGGUGAGUAACACGUGGGUAACCUCCCAUCAGAGGGGAUACCACUUGGAAACAGGUGCUAAACCGAUACUGAUGGAUGGACCCGCGGUGGAUUAGCUAGUUGGUGAGGUAACGGCUCACCAAGGCCAUGAUGCAUAGGGGACCUGUGAGGGUGAUCUGCCACACUGGGACUGAGACACGGCCCAGACUCCUAUGGGAGGCAGCAGUAGGGACACGUCGGCAGUGGACGAAAGUCUGACCGAGAAACGCCGCGUGAGUGAAGAAGGUUUUCGGAUCGUAAAACUCUGUUGUUAGUGAAGCGGUAUCUAACGAGAAAGCCACGGCUAACUACGUGCCAGCCGCCGCGGUAAUAC